GAAAAAAUUGAAAAAUAUUCUCCAUACUUCACACCCAAGGUGUCACCACCAAGAAUGUUUCAACAUUACCAUUCCUGAAGAGAGCAUCCCAACGGUUAAACCUUUAAACUAGAACUCGUUUAAGAGAAAAGGGAAUAAUUAUUGGCAAUGACUGGUUACACAAGUGCACAAACACUAUUCCAAGAACUGGGGCUAUGAACAAGUUACACAAUAAUCUUAAUUUCCACAAUGAGAAUGUUGUGCGACACAGUGGGAGAGAACGUUCCGAUCUGUACUUGAGACCUCCCUGUUGGCUGCUCUUCUGCACAAAAAUAGCUAUACAAACAUUGUUUUUCAGGUGAAGAGGACUGCCCUCGCAGAACAAUUACAGUAUUGGUGUCCAGGAAUUAGUAACAAUAUCACCAGCAAGAUUUUCAUUCCUCGCUUGUCAAUGCAGAAGCAGGGAUUCCGUGCUUUUGAAACCAUUCUGGCAUAUGAAAUCUAUCGUACAGCACAGGCCGCACAUCUUUUUGCUUGGAUAGAUGCUUGAGAAGUGGAAGAAUUACCUCCAAAAGCUGUAUAUCAUGUGGUUGUCCAGCAGAAAAUGGAAUGCAUGGAAUUCCAUUUAGAGGUUGUAAUAGGAAACUGAAUGGAUUGUUAUCAACAAUGACGAUUCGGCUCAAGUCCUUUGAAAUGCAUACUAAAUCUUUCACAUGUUCUCGGUACUCCGUGCUAAUUGUUGAAGGC
rnacentral:misc_RNA from 1 species